GCAGCCGCGGUAACACGUAAGGCGCGAGCGUUGUUCGGAAUCAUUGGGCGUAAAGGGCGUGUAGGCGGCCCUGCAAGCCUGGCGUGAAAUCCCGGGGCUCAACCCCGGAACCGCGCUGGGAACUGCGGGGCUUGAGCCGCUGUGGCGCAGCCGGAAUUCCAGGUGUAGGGGUGAAAUCUGUAGAUAUCUGGAAGAACACCGAUGGCGAAGGCAGGCUGCGAGCGGACGGCUGACGCUGAGGCGCGAAGGCGCGGGGAGCGAACAGGAUUAGAUACCCC
rnacentral:rRNA from 1 species